rnacentral:lncRNA from 12 species
GAGAAUGAGAGCCCAAGGCUUCAUUGACAAGUAUUACCUAUAAAACUGAGCCACAGGCCAAUCUGGAGCAUUUGUAAAUGGGAGCAUGACCUCAUAAAAUUGUAGGCACUACCCAGACAAGGAGUCCAUGUCAUGAAAUGAGCUAUACCUCUGGAGUCAGAUCUGCUUUGGUGUGAGGCCCUACUGAUUUCUCAGCUUUUUAACCUUGGAGAAAUGACUUAGCCUGCCCUUUGU